rnacentral:rRNA from 1 species
GAUGAACGCUAGCGGCAGGCUUAACACAUGCAAGUCGAGGGGUAGGUUACUUCGGUAAUUGAGACCGGCGCACGGGUGCGUAACGCGUAUACAAUCUACCUUUUACAGAGGGAUAGCCCAGAGAAAUUUGGAUUAAUACCUCAUAGUAUUUUUGAAUCGCAUGAUUUGAUUAUUAAAGUUCCAACGGUAAAAGAUGAGUAUGCGUCCCAUUAGCUAGAUGGUAAGGUAACGGCUUACCAUGGCUACGAUGGGUAGGGGUCCUGAGAGGGAGAUCCCCCCACACUGGUACUGAGACACGGACCAGACUCCUACGGGAGGCAGCAGUGAGGAAUAUUGGACAAUGGGCGCAAGCCUGAUCCAGCCAUGCCGCGUGCAGGAAGGAAGGUCCUAUGGAUUGUAAACUGCUUUUAUACAGGAAGAAACACUCCCUCGUGAGGGAACUUGACGGUACUGUAUGAUAAGACCGGCUAACUCCGUGCCAGCAGCCGCGGU